rnacentral:lncRNA from 1 species
CCUGAGUUCAUCAAAUGCAUCUAGCAAAGAGACACAUAAAGACAGGAGACUAAAACUAUCUGCUACCCAUGCCUGACUGCCAGACUGACUAUAAAACACAAACUUCAUAUUGAACAGGUUUGUCACAUUCACCUGCAGAUGCUGUUGGCCCAGUUUUCCUCUUUCCCACCCCGCACUGCUCACGCUCUUCUCCCUCUCCUUACCAACACACACAUGCAGUUUCUAGCCCUGUUUUUAGCUCUGCAGUUAGCACUUGCCUCAUAGGUGUGACAGAAUCAAUUGAAGUGGAACUGAAGAACAGCCUUCUAGAUGGUAAACGUAAUUGUUCAUUUCACAUUGCCUCCCCAGAGUCCUAGGGGGAUAAAGUUUUAAAAUUACAUAUUUUUAUUUAUGAGUUACUUAUGUGAAUAUUCCUGUUUAAUGUGAUACACAUAGGGAAUAAAGAAUGCUUGAACACAA